UACAGAGGGUGCAAGCGUUAAUCGGAAUUACUGGGCGUAAAGCGUGCGUAGACGGUUAUGUAAGUCAGAUGUGAAAGCCCCGGGCUUAACCUGGGAAUGGCAUUUGAGACUGCAUAGCUAGGGUGCGGAAGAGGGAAGCGGAAUUUCCGGUGUAGCGGUGAAAUGCGUAGAUAUCGGAAGGAACACCAGUGGCGAAAGCGGCUUUCUGGUCCAGCACCGACGUUCAGGCACGAAAGCGUGGGGAGCAAACAGG
rnacentral:rRNA from 1 species